rnacentral:rRNA from 1 species
GACGUAGGGCGCAAGCGUUGUCCGGAUUUAUUGGGCGUAAAGAGCUCGUAGGCGGCUUGUCGCGUCGACUGUGAAAACCCGCGGCUUAACUGUGGGACUGCAGUCGAUACGGGCUAGCUAGAGUUCGGUAGGGGAGACUGGAAUUCCUGGUGUAGCGGUGAAAUGCGCAGAUAUCAGGAGGAACACCGGUGGCGAAGGCGGGUUGCUGGGCUGACACUGACGCUGAAGCGCGAAAGCUAGGGGAGCGAACGGG